AGACCCUCACUAGGUCCAGAAAUGGAUAAAGUAGGGCUCCCAGUUGUCCUUUGGGGUAUGCCUGGAGGCUUGGGGUAGGAGGUUCUUGGGAGGCAUUCUGUGGACAGAUCCCAGCUUCAGCCCCGGCCACGGGGGUCUUGCUCGCAUAAGAAGACACAGCUCCUGGUUUAGGCACAUGGCAAGACCCACUCUUGGAGCACCUUCCCAAACUGGCAGAACCUAGGGCUCUGGGCCAGCCUCUCUCUCCCAUUUGCCUUCUCUUUCCACCUUGUAGUCCAGGAACAGUGGACUUUUAUUCAUUACGAAUGAAAACACUUACAGGAUUUUCAACAUUUCCAAAAAACUUUCUAUUGUCUUCAUUGGAUGGCAGAGUGAGUUAGGUCAGAUAGAUACAAUGUUCCCAUUUAACAGAGAGGAGAAAUAAAGGUCCACCGUCACACAAGGUCAAGGGCAGACCUAAAAUCCAGAAGGACUGACUCUCCUGCUCCCAACUUCUUUCUGGCAGACAGGGCCUGGCCGCAGGUAGCUGGCCUUACCUGACCCCUGGAGCCAGCCCACCCUGCCAGGGUCGCCACACCACUGUCUGAAGAUACCUAACACCUGCCAAAGGGCUCAAAUCAUAAGACAUCCUUUAGAAAAGGAAAUGAAUGUCUCCCAAAGGCUUAAUACCAGAGACUAUUAGAGAUUUUCUGAUCCUUUCAUUUUACAUGUGAGGGAGGUGAAGUAACUGUCCAAGGCCACACAGCCAGGCAGAGCCGGGAUUUGCCAUCCAGUAGCACCCAGGUACUGGAUGGUGAGCUCUCCGUCUCAGGGUGAGCCCAGCCCUUGCCCGUCUCUCCUGCAGAGUGUGGGUAGGGCCGGGUGGAUGGCGUUUCGCUGCCCGUCAGAUUGGAGCGUAUGGAGGGAGUUAGGCAAGAGGCGACUUUGCACUCCUCUCUCUCCUCACAUGCAUCGGCAGAGACGUGUGAAGGGUUUUCAGCCAGAAGACUGUAAGUGCUUCCAGUGCCCUGCAAUGAGCCUUGCCCGCUCCAGGCAGAGCCUGCCCAGACAAUGCUGGGCCGUGGGGACCAGGAGGAGGAGGAGACACCGUGGCUUCUACCCCACAAGCUGGACACCCCACAGCCGGGGCCUGAAUUUGAGGUCCCCACUGCAGCCUCUGUGUCAUUGGUUCCUAUAUUACCCUGCACUCAAAGCUCUGAGACAUCAUGGGCAAGGCGCUGGAAUGGGAGUCCGGAGCCUGGGUCCAGCCUGGGACCAACUCCCAGGAUGCCGUGGGCAAGUCUCCCACACCCUCUGGGUGUUGUGGCCCACUCCAUGAAGCGAGGGGGUUGGGUGUUGGACCAGAUCAUCUCAAAGGUCCUCCAGCUCUGCCACACCAUGCCCUGCCCUUUAACCGUGGGUCACAAAUUUGUGAUGCUCUUCCAUUGCCUGCCUAAUAAAUUCUGGCUCCAUAACCUGGAAUUCAUUGUCUUCCUCUAGUGGUAAUGAAAACUAUGAGACUGGAAAAGAUGCUUGAGGGCGAAGGCGUAGCUAGCCUCCUGGGGAGCCUCAGAACAGGAGAUUCUCAUCUGCUCCACUGGUCAGCAAAAUUCUG
rnacentral:lncRNA from 1 species